rnacentral:lncRNA from 12 species
CCAAAACUUCAAGCCAGUUUGUCUGAGUCUAAUGCUCUGUGCUCACACCCUCACUGCUUCUCUGCCACCCACCGGAGAGCCCCAGAAGUUCUUGGAAAACGACAGGAGGAGGAAGGAGCCCAGAGCCUGCGACAGGAGUGGUUAAGGCCACAGAAGAGCCCAGGGCAACUCACUUCACUGUCCAGCUCAGACCUGCUGUCUGUUCACCUGUCCUGCAGCUGGCUGGCUGGCUGGCUGGGACGGUCCUUGAGAAUGGGACAAAAGCCCCUUCUCUGCCUGGAUUCAGCCUGCAGUGGUGCCUCAAUCUACCAGAUGCCAAUCGCCUCCCAGACAUCAGCCUACAGUGGUGCCUCUCCCAGGGCCACGUCUACUCUCUGUCUCCCGUCCCCUUUCUCCACUGACCAGAUGGGACAAGCUCUCCUCCUCAUUCUCUUUCUGGAAGGCACCUCUCUUAUGUAAUAUUCUAUUGUCAAGUCGCUCAUGUCUGACUCUGCUUGUUGGUUAAUUAAAACCUAAUAAAAUUAGGAUUCCUCUUUCUUUCUACA